GUCUGUGACCAUACCAGUGUUGCUGUGCCUGAUCUCAGAAGCUAAGCAGAGUUGGGCCUGGUUAGUACUUGGAUUACAGAGGGCAUCUUUCACAUGCA
ensembl:rRNA 5S_rRNA 5S ribosomal RNA